ACGGGUGAUUAACGCGUGGGUAACCUGGCCCAUACAGGGGGAUAACACUUAGAAAUAGGUGCUAAUACCGCAUAACAACAGAAAGCGCAUGCUUUUUGUUUGAAAACCAAGGUGGUAUGGGAUGGACCCGCGUCUGAUUAGCUGGUUGGCGGGGUAAAGGCCCACCAAGGCGACGAUCAGUAGCCGGCCUGAGAGGGUGGACGGCCACAUUGGGACUGAGACACGGCCCAAACUCCUACGGGAGGCAGCAGUGGGGAAUAUUGCACAAUGGGGGAAACCCUGAUGCAGCGACGCCGCGUGAGUGAAGAAGUAAUUCGUUAUGUAAAGCUCUAUCAGCAGGGAAGAAAAUGACGGUACCUGAGUAAGAAGCCCCGGCUAACUACGUGCCAGCAGCCGCGGUAAUACGUAGGGGGCAAGCGUUAUCCGGAUUUACUGGGUGUAAAGGGAGCGUACACGGCAGUGCAAGUCUGGAGUGAAAGGCGGGGGCUCAACCCCCGGACUGCUCUGGAAACUGUACGGCUGGAGUGCAGGAGAGGUAAGUGUAAUUCCUAGUGUAGCGGUGAAAUGCGUAUAUAUUAGGAGGAACACCAGUGGCGAAGGCGGCUUACUGGACUGUAACUGACGUUGAG
rnacentral:rRNA from 1 species